UACGAAGGGUGCAAGCGUUACUCGGAAUUACUGGGCGUAAAGCGUGCGUAGGUGGUUUGUUAAGUCUGUUGUGAAAGCCCCGGGCUCAACCUGGGAAUGGCAAUGGAUACUGGCAGGCUAGAGUGCGGUAGAGGGUAGUGGAAUUCCCGGUGUAGCGGUGAAAUGCGUAGAGAUCGGGAGGAACACCAGUGGCGAAGGCGGCUACCUGGACCAGCACUGACGCUGAGGUGCGAAAGCGUGGGGAGCAAACAGG
rnacentral:rRNA from 1 species